rnacentral:rRNA from 1 species
AGAGUUUGAUCCCUGGCUCAGAUUGAACGCUGGCGGCAUGCUUUACACAUGCAAGUUCGGACGGCAGCACAGAGAAGCUUGCUUCUUGGGUGGCGAGUGGCGAACGGGUGAGUAAUGCAUCGGAACGUACCGAGUAGUGGGGGAUAACUGUCCGAAAGGAUGGCUAAUACCGCAUACGCUUUGAGAAGGAAAGCAGGGGCUCUUCGGACCUUGCGCUAUUCGAGCGGCCGAUGUCUGAUUAGCUGGUUGGUGGGGUAAAGGCCUACCAAGGCGACGAUCAGUAGCGGGUCUGAGAGGAUGAUCCGCCACACUGGGACUGAGACACGGCCCAGACUCCUACGGGAGGCAGCAGUGGGGAAUUUUGGACAAUGGGCGCAAGCCUGAUCCAGCCAUGCCGCGUGUCUGAAGAAGGCCUUCGGGUUGUAAAGGACUUUUGUCAGGGAAGAAAAGGUUGUGGUUAAUACCCAUGACUGAUGAGACGGUACCUGAAGAAUAAGCACCGGCUAACUACGUGCCAGCAGCCGCGGUAAUACGUAGGGUGCGAGCGUUAAUCGGAAUUACUGGGCGUAAAGCGGGCGCAGACGGUUACUUAAGUCAGAUGUGAAAUCCCCGGGCUCAACCUGGGAACUGCGUUUGAAACUGGGUGACUAGAGUAUGUCAGAGGGGGGUAGAAUUCCACGUGUAGCAGUGAAAUGCGUAGAGAUGUGGAGGAAUACCGAUGGCGAAGGCAGCCCCCUGGGAUAAUACUGACGUUCAUGCCCGAAAGCGUGGGUAGCAAACAGGAUUAGAUACCCUGGUAGUCCACGCCCUAAACGAUGUCAAUUAGCUGUUGGGCAACUUGAUUGCUUAGUAGCGUAGCUAACGCGUGAAAUUGACCGCCUGGGGAGUACGGUCGCAAGAUUAAAACUCAAAGGAAUUGACGGGGACCCGCACAAGCGGUGGAUGAUGUGGAUUAAUUCGAUGCAACGCGAAGAACCUUACCUGGUCUUGACAUGUACGGAAUCCUCCAGAGACGGAGGAGUGCCUUCGGGAGCCGUAACACAGGUGCUGCAUGGCUGUCGUCAGCUCGUGUCGUGAGAUGUUGGGUUAAGUCCCGCAACGAGCGCAACCCUUGUCAUUAGUUGCCAUCAUUUGGUUGGGCACUCUAAUGAGACUGCCGGUGACAAGCCGGAGGAAGGUGGGGAUGACGUCAAGUCCUCAUGGCCCUUAUGACCAGGGCUUCACACGUCAUACAAUGGUCGGUACAGAGGGUAGCCAAGCCGCGAGGUGGAGCCAAUCCCACAAAACCGAUCGUAGUCCGGAUUGCACUCUGCAACUCGAGUGCAUGAAGUCGGAAUCGCUAGUAAUCGCAGGUCAGCAUACUGCGGUGAAUACGUUCCCGGGUCUUGUACACACCGCCCGUCACACCAUGGGAGUGGGGGAUACCAGAAGUAGGUAGGGUAACCGCAAGGAGCCAGCUUACCACGGUAUGCUUCAUGACUG